ensembl:lncRNA
CUGAAACUGUUGCUCCCAUUUUCCCUUUCCCCCAGCUGACACUUAACAUUUUAAAUGGUUCUGGCUUAUCUGCUCCCUUUUGUGGGGACAGAGGAACCUGUGCUCUGUGUGUGCGUGCAUGCGUGUGUAUCUGUGUGUAUGUAUCUGGCUGCCUGUCAUUACAGCACUAAUGGAAAUACUACACGGAUCACAACUCUCAAUUAGCUCCUCGGGAGAUUGCUGUGACAGCCAGUUACUGAACAGCAAGGCCUGAAGGAAUGAAUUAAUUUGUAGUACACGGCAGUUAGAGUCAUAGUGUUAGCAAUGGAAUGAGACAGCAAUAGACCCUGAUUAGGCUCAGGCUGUCUGAUACAAGAGACUGUUACCUGGUGGAUGUCUGUCUGUCUUUUUCCACGAAAACUUCCUCGUGCUAGGAGGGAUCUUUGGCCAUGAGUGAGAUGAGUUUAGAGCUCUUAGUUUAGUUCCUGGAGUCACUGUCUGCCUGAGGCUAUUUGGCACCUGGCAGUGGCUUUCAUUCAAUGCAGACAAGGGCAUGCUGCUCUCCUCCUGACUUGGAGCCAGGCCAAAGGCACUAAGUGAAUGGUGUUCAGGGAAGGUAACACUACCUUUCUCUCUGUCUUCAAACAACAUCUCUCUUCCUUAUUAGUUCAGAUAUGUGUAUAUCACAGAGGGUAUCCCAAGGCUGCUGCACCAGGGGAUACUGGUGUCUUGCCUUUGUUGUGCUACAAACAGGUAUGUACAGACACAGAAGUGCAAAAUCUGCUCAGUGAGGCAUGAGCAUACAGGGAAUCUUUGUAAAGUGUUCCUGGAAAAAACGGGAAUCGUCACAAACAGCCUGAAGUUUCCAGAGCUGCUUCCUGAAACCAGCCACAAGUUCCCUAUACGGUGAAGUACCGCAUUACAGCCUAACAAUAUAAUUUUCUCUUUCUGCCCUCCUAGUUUUUCAGGUCUGACAUGCAAAGAUUUGCAGUCUCUUAUUCUGAUAUCCACAAAUCUGAAUCCAAAGACAAAUCUUGUCUUUUCUCUAUUGUACAAUGACUUUUUCUUAACACUUGUUUUUAAUAUAUUUUAUAGAGAUGGCUGCCUAGUGUCUAGAGUGGAUUUGUCAGAGCGGGACACCAGACUUUCUCUCCGCUUAGGGAAGAUCAGCUACCUAGCGAGAAGUAUUGUGAAGCUAAUGAAAUUUUGGGCAUACUGCUUGUUUGAAAUGGGACAGAGUCUGACCUCCAGAAGUGUGGCUCAGGAAUGUGUGAAGCACCACAUGGAAAUACACAGAAGAGAGACUGUAUCUUAAGCGCUUUAUAUUCUGGAAAGAGAGAUGCGUGAGUAGUGAGGAAAAGACGAAUAACUCACUGGCCGUGCAACCCCUGAAGGCAGUAGUCCUCUAUUUGUCUGUAAGACAGGACAUUGCAAGCUGCAUUGGCAGAGCCUUUUUCUGCCAUCUUACUGUAUAGGCACAGAUGUGGUCUUUUCUUUUGAAGGACCUUCCUAAGUCAUUCAGUCUGUAGUCCCUGUAUUGUCAACAAACAAAUGGGGUGGUUAACACUACCUGUGUUAAUAGAAAGCUGGAAAUCAAACCUGAGCUCUUUUUAGCACUGGUGUCUUCAUAACUUGAAGUCAGCAAAGUGUCAGUACAAGGGUUUGCAGCUCUAGCAGUGCUCCUCCUGUGGGCGGUGUUGCCUUCGUGUGCUCUUGUUUUGCUUCACUUCAGGUGUGCAAACAAAAGCUGUUGUCCAAAAACCUUUUCGUUUUUGCAGUGUUUGACUCUUUCUUGAUCUUUGUCUGCUUCUCGAAAUAGCUGUCAUGUUGACCCUUACUGCACAUCCUGGCCAGUAAGAGGUGCUUCCCCUUUCCUCCCUGCAGCUGCAUUCUUUGUGCAGAGCUAAGAAGUGCUGUGUUACAUUGCUGUUGCUUUCAGGUGUGUCUCACCCAG